rnacentral:tRNA from 1 species
GGGGGUUUGGCUCAGUGGUAGAGCACAUGCUUAGCAUGCACAAGGUCCUGGGUUCAAUCCCCAGUACCUCCA